AGAAUCAACGCUGGCGGCGUGCCUAACACAUGCAAGUCGAACGAGAAAGGGGAGCAAUCCCUGAGUACAGUGGCGACCGGGUGAGUAACACGUGACUAACCUACCCUCGAGUGUGGAAUAACAUCGGGAAACCGAUGCUAAUACCGCAUAACAUCGCAAGAUCAAAGGAGUAAUCCGCUUGAGGAGGGGGUCGCGGCUGAUUAGCUAGUUGGCGGGGUAAUGGCCCACCAAGGCGAAGAUCGGUAUCCGGCCUGAGAGGGCGCACGGACACACUGGAACUGAAACACGGUCCAGACUCCUACGGGAGGCAGCAGUGGGGAAUUUUGCGCAAUGGGGGAAACCCUGACGCAGCAACGCCGCGUGGAGGAUGAAGCCCCUUGGGGCGUAAACUCCUUUCGACCAAGACGAUAAUGACGGUACUGGUGGAAGAAGCACCGGCUAACUCUGUGCCAGCAGCCGC
rnacentral:rRNA from 1 species